AGCUGAGGUGAAACAGCUCCAGGUUACCCACAAGAGAGCACUGAAAUGUUCAAGACUCUUAAAAUAGGGAUCUGGGCUGCAGCUGCCUCAGCCCCUUCCCAGGGAUGCUGGGGGACCCUGCCUGGGGUUUCUCUGGGGGUUUAGGCUCUCGCUUGGUUCUGGCUCAGACUGGGGGUGUAGCUGGGUUGUUGGGGUGCUGCUGAGGGCUCCCUGUCUCCCAGCAGAGGAGCAGCUCUUCCGCUCCGUGGAGGGCCAGGCUGCCUCGGAUGAGGAGGAGGAGAAGUGGGCAGGGGCUCCCCAGCUGGGCCACGUGAAGAAGAUCCUGGCCAAGCUCCCUUGCUGUGGCAGUGGAUGUGAUGAAAAGACGUGGAGAAAGCUGCUGUCCUACCUGGAGACCACCAGCACUGACGGGAAGGACCCUGUGGAGCUCUCAGGGAGAAUCUCCCCCCUCACAGAGCAGCCAGAACUCAAGGGCCACCAGGAGAAAAAACUGGAAAUAAGCAUGGAAGAGAUGGAAGGGCCCUGGCUCGGGGAGCUGCAGCAGAAGGUGGAGGAGAAAGAGGUGCUGAAGAUGGAGCUGCAGAUGUUGGAGACAGAGAGGGUUCAGCUGUCCCUGGUGGAAGAGAAGCUCCUGGAUGUCCUGCAGCUCCUCCAACAACUCCAAGACUUGGUAUGGUGAGAAA